rnacentral:rRNA from 1 species
UACGUAGGGUGCGAGCGUUUGUCCGGAAUUAUUGGGCGUAAAGGGCUCGUAGGCGGUUUGUCGCGUCGGGAGUGAAAACUCAGGGCUUAACCCUGAGCCUGCUUCCGAUACGGGCAGACUAGAGGUAUGCAGGGGAGAACGGAAUUCCUGGUGUAGCGGUGAAAUGCGCAGAUAUCAGGAGGAACACCGGUGGCGAAGGCGGAUCUCUGGGCCGUAACUGACGCUGAGGUGCGAAAGCGUGGGGAGCAAACAGG